rnacentral:rRNA from 1 species
AUUGAACGCUGGCGGCAGGCCUAACACAUGCAAGUCGAACGAGUGGCGGACGGGUGAGUAAUGUCUGGGUAACUGCCUGAUGGAGGGGGAUCACUACUGGAAACGGUAGCUAACAGCGCAAACCAUCGGAAAUGCCCAUAUGGGAUUAGCGUAGGGGGGGGGUAAAGGCUCACCUAGGAGACGAUCCCUAGCUGGUCUGAGAGGAUGACCAGCCACACUGGAACUGAGACACGGUCCAGACUCCUACGGGAGGCAGCAGUGGGGAAUAUUGCACAAUGGGCGCAAGCCUGAUGCAGCCAUGCCGCGUGUAUGAAGAAGGCCUUAGGGUUGUAAAGUACUUUCAGCGGGGAGGCGUUACCCGCAGAAGAAGCACCGGCUAACUCCGUGCCAGCAGCCGCGGUAAUUC